AGUGAACGCUGGCGGUAGGCCUAACACAUGCAAGUCGAACGGCAGCACAGUAAGAGCUUGCUCUUACGGGUGGCGAGUGGCGGACGGGUGAGGAAUACAUCGGAAUCUACUUUUUCGUGGGGGAUAACGUAGGGAAACUUACGCUAAUACCGCAUACGACCUACGGGUGAAAGCAGGGGAUCUUCGGACCUUGCGCGAUUGAAUGAGCCGAUGUCGGAUUAGCUAGUUGGCGGGGUAAAGGCCCACCAAGGCGACGAUCCGUAGCUGGUCCGAGAGGAUGAUCAGACAGACUGGAACUGAGAAACGGUCCAGACUCCUACGGGGGGCCGCGGUGGGGAAUCUUGCACGAUGGGCGAAAGCCUGAUCCAGCCAUACCGCGUGGGUGAAGAAGGCCUUCGGGUUGGAGAGCCCUUUUGUUGGGAAAGAAAAGCAGCACGUUAAUACCCCGCUGUUCUGACGGUACCCAAAGAAUAAGCACCGGCUAACUUCGUG
rnacentral:rRNA from 1 species